rnacentral:rRNA from 1 species
GAUGAACGCUGGCGGCGUGCCUAAUACAUGCCAGUCGAGCGAACGGACGAGAAGCUUGCUUCUCUGAUGUUAGCGGCGGACGGGUGAGUAACACGUGGAUAACCUACCUAUAAGACUGGGAAAACUUCGGGAAACCGGAGCUAAUACCGGAUAAUAUUUUGAACCGCAUGGUUCAAAAGUGAAAGACGGUCUUGCUGUCACUUAUAGAUGGAUCCGCGCUGCAUUAGCUAGUUGGUAAGGUAACGGCUUACCAAGGCAACGAUGCAUAGCCGACCUGAGAGGGUGAUCGGCCACACUGGAACUGAGACACGGUCCAGACUCCUACGGGAGGCAGCAGUAGGGAAUCUUCCGCAAUGGGCGAAAGCCUGACGGAGCAACGCCGCGUGAGUGAUGAAGGUCUUCGGAUCGUAAAACUCUGUUAUUAGGGAAGAACAUAUGUGUAAGUAACUGUGCACAUCUUGACGGUACCUAAUCAGAAAGCCACGGCUAACUACGUG